rnacentral:lncRNA from 1 species
GGUGAUGGUCUUGGGCAUGGGGGCGUUACAUUUAGUGGUAUCAGAGCAAGUUUAGUCAGUUCUCGGACUACAUGUUGUAUGUACGGAUUUUGCUAUACAUGCCAUAUGUAUGAAUUGUGAUAGUGUGACGACUUCUGACCUUUUUAAAUGAUUUUUAUAUAGUAAAUGGAUCCCGAUCCAGCUGUGGCAGAUGAAGUAGAGAGUAAUGUGCCAGCUCCGGCUGAAGGGGCAGCGCCGAC